rnacentral:rRNA from 1 species
GAUGAACGCUGGCGGCGUGCUUAACACAUGCAAGUCGAACGAAGCACUUUAUUUGAUUUCUUCGGAAUGAAGAUUUUGUGACUGAGUGGCGGACGGGUGAGUAACGCGUGGGUAACCUGCCUCAUACAGGGGGAUAACAGUUGGAAACGACUGCUAAUACCGCAUAAGCGCACAGGGUCGCAUGACCUGGUGUGAAAAACUCCGGUGGUAUGAGAUGGACCCGCGUCUGAUUAGCCAGUUGGUGGGGUAACGGCCUACCAAAGCAACGAUCAGUAGCCGACCUGAGAGGGUGACCGGCCACAUUGGGACUGAGACACGGCCCAAACUCCUACGGGAGGCAGCAGUGGGGAAUAUUGCACAAUGGGGGAAACCCUGAUGCAGCGACGCCGCGUGAGCGAAGAAGUAUUUCGGUAUGUAAAGCUCUAUCAGCAGGGAAGAAGA